UAUCGACGGCGGUGUUUGGCACCUCGAUGUCGGCUCAUCACAUCCUGGGGCUGAAGUAGGUCCCAAGGGUAUGGCUGUUCGCCAUUUAAAGUGGUACGCGAGCUGGGUUUAGAACGUCGUGAGACAGUUCGGUCCCUAUCUGCCGUGGGCGCUGGAGAAUUGAGGGGGGCUGCUCCUAGUACGAGAGGACCGGAGUGGACGCAUCACUGGUGUUCGGGUUGUCAUGCCAAUGGCACUGCCCGGUAGCUAAAUGCGGAAGAGAUAAGUGCUGAAAGCAUCUAAGCACGAAACUUGCCCCGAGAUGAGUUCUCCCUGACUCCUUGAGAGUCCUGAAGGAACGUUGAAGACGACGACGUUGAUAGGCCGGGUGUGUAAGCGCAGCGAUGCGUUGAGCUAACCGGUACUAAUGAACCGUGAGGCUUAACCUUACAACGCCGAAG
rnacentral:rRNA from 1 species